AACGUAGGAGGCAAGCGUUAUCCGGAGUUACUGGGCGUAAAGCGCGUGCAGGUGGUUCAGUAAGUUGGUUAUGAAAGCUCCUGGCUAAACUGGGAGAGGUUGACCAAAACUGCUAGACUAGAGUGGAUGAGAGGUAAAUGGAAUUCCGCGUGUAGUGGUGAAAUGCGUAGAGAUGCGGAAGAACACCAGUGGCGAAGGCGAUUUACUGGCAUCCAACUGACACUCAGACGCGAAAGCAUGGGUAGCGAACGGG
rnacentral:misc_RNA from 1 species